UACGGGGGGGGCAAGCGUUGUUCGGAAUUACUGGGCGUAAAGGGCGCGUAGGCGGCCUUCUAAGUCGAACGUGAAAUCCCCGGGCUCAACCCGGGAACUGCGUCCGAGACUGAAAGGCUUGAAUCCGGGAGAGGGAUGUGGAAUUCCAGGUGUAGCGGUGAAAUGCGUAGAUAUCUGGAGGAACAUCGGUGGCGAAGGCGGCAUCCUGGACCGGUAUUGACGCUGAGGCGCGAAAGCUAGGGGAGCGAACGGG
rnacentral:rRNA from 1 species